rnacentral:rRNA from 1 species
GCUAUCAGGCGUCGAGCGGCGGACGGGUGAGUAAUACUUAGGAGUCUACCUAGUAGUGGGGGAGAGCACGGGGAAACUCGUAUUAAUACCGGAACGACCUACGGGAGAAAGGGGGCAGUUUACUGCUCUCGCUAUUAGAUGAGCCUAAGUCGGAUUAGCUAGAUGGUGGGGUAAAGGCCUACCAUGGCGACGAUCUGUAGCUGGUCUGAGAGGAUGAUCAGCCACACCGGGACUGAGACACGGCCCGGACUCCUACGGGAGGCAGCAGUGGGGAAUAUUGGACAAUGGGGGAAACCCUGAUCCAGCCAUGCCGCGUGUGUGAAGAAGGCCUUUUGGUUGUAAAGCACUUUAAGCAGUGAAGAAGACUCCGUGGUUAAUACCCACGGACGAUGACAUUAGCUGCAGAAUAAGCACCGGCUAACUCUGUGCCAGCAGCCGCGGUAAUACAGAGGGUGCAAGCGUUAAUCGGAAUUACUGGGCGUAAAGGGAGCGUAGGUGGCUCGAUAAGUCAGAUGUGAAAUCCCCGGGCUCAACCUGGGAACUGCAUCUGAUACUGUUGAGCUAGAGUAUGUGAGAGGAAGGUAGAAUUCCAGGUGUAGCGGUGAAAUGCGUAGAGAUCUGGAGGAAUACCGAUGGCGAAGGCAGCCUUCUGGCAUAAUACUGACACUGAGGCUCGAAAGCGUGGGUAGCAAACAGGAUUAGAUACCCUGGUAGUCCACGCCGUAAACGAUGUCUACUAGUCGUUGGGUCCCUUGAGGACUUAGUGACGCAGCUAACGCAAUAAGUAGACCGCCCGGGGGAGUACGGCCGCAAGGUUAAAACUCAAAUGAAUUGACGGGGGCCCGCACAAGCGGUGGAACAUGGUGGUUUAAUUCGAUGCAACGCGAAGAACCUUACCUGGUCUUGACAUAUCUAGAAUCCUGCAGAGAUUGCGGGAGUGCCUUCGGGAAUUAAAAUACGGUGCUGCAUGGCUGCGUCAGCUCUGUCCGGAAAAUUUUGGGUUAAUUCCCGCAACGAGCGCACCCUUGUCCU